AUUGAACGCUGGCGGCAGGCCUAACACAUGCAAGUCGAACGAGUGGCGGACGGGUGAGUAAUGUCUGGGAAACUGCCUGAUGGAGGGGGAUAACUACUGGAAAAGGUCGCUAAUACCCGAAACCAUCAGUUUAAGCCAGCUCGGAUGAGCGGGUUGGUGGGGUAACGGCUCACCAAGGCGACGAUCCCUAGCUGGUCUGAGAGGAUGACCGGCACCACUGGACCUGAGCCACGGCCCAGACUCCUACGGGAGGCAGCAGUGGGGAAUAUUGCACAAGGGGCGCAAGCCUGAUGCAGCAAGGCCGGGGGUAUGAAGAGGGCCUUCGGGUGUAAAAGUCCUUUCAGCGGGAAGGCGUUACCCGCAGAAGAAGCCACGGCUAACUCCGUGCCAGCAGCCGCGGUAAUAC
rnacentral:rRNA from 1 species